rnacentral:rRNA from 1 species
UAGGGAAUCUUCGGCGAUGGACGAAAGUCUGACCGAGCAACGCCGCGUGAGUGAAGAAGGUUUUCGGAUCGUAAACUCUGUUGGUAGAGAAGAACGUUGGUGAGAGUGGAAAGCUCAUCAAGUGACGGUAACUACCCAGAAAGGGACGGCUAACUACGUGCCAG